rnacentral:rRNA from 1 species
GACAGAGGGGGCAAGCGUUGCUCGGAAUCACUGGGCGUAAAGGGCGCGUAGGCGGGAUGGCAAGUCAGUCGUGAAAUCUCUCGGCUCAACCGAGAAACGUCGGCUGAUACUGCCGUUCUUGAGGGAUGCAGAGGAGACUGGAAUUCCCGGUGUAGCGGUGAAAUGCGUAGAUAUCUGGAGGAACACCGGUGGCGAAGGCGACAUCCUGGACCGGUAUUGACGCUGAGGCGCGAAAGCGUGGGGAGCGAACAGG